GCAGCGAUAGUCCAGUCUGGCUAAGACCCUACCCUGCCACGGUAGAGACCCGGGUUCGAAUCCCGGUCGUUGCA
rnacentral:tRNA from 2 species